rnacentral:pre_miRNA from 1 species
UUUAUACUCCCUCUGUCCCAAAUUUUUUGUCUUAGAUUUGUCUAAAUACGGAUGUAUCAAGUCACUUUUUAGUAUUAGAUACAUCUGUAUCAAGAUAAAUCUAAGACACGAAUUUUGGGACGGAGGGAGUAUGAU